AGCUGAGGAAAAAUUACGGGUAUGUUUGUGAUAUGGAGUGCCUACAAGAUACUCUUGGUGAGCUGGUGGAAAAAGGUAGACUGAAAUUCGAAAAUAAAAAAAAUUCUAUGUAGUAAUUACGUUUUUCUAAAGGAGCCAGCCUUAGUGUAAUGAUAUCUUAGGUAUUUUUUCUAUUUUUACAUUCCUAAUUGUCAUUCUAAUCUUUACCCUAGCCCUAAGACCUAAGUCUAACUCAAAAGUUCUUAAUCCAUCACAUUCCUAAUCCAACCCUGACUUUAUCCUAAAUCUAACCCUAAUCCUACCGUACAAUGCUACUGCUCAUCCUUUAAUUAACAUUCUUAAACAUUUCUAUUUCACAUUAUUUCCAAGCGAGUACAAUAAUAAAUAAUUUAUGAAAAUGAAUUAAUCUCGACUUAAGCUUGAAAUAUAUACAUCAAUUGUAAUACGACAGUGUACUGAUAUGAACGCCGCAGAGCUGGAGGGGGGGGGGGGGCAUCGCAUCCUCUGCUCUUUUCCGUGGAGGGAAAUUGGGCAAAGCUGUCAUUGAUUUUAGGUAAAUAUUUAAAAUAUUCAAAAAUUAUUAUAAAUUAUUUUACUUGGUCGCCGAAUGAACCCAAAAUCGCGAAUCGAAAUACGGUUAUUUAGGGGGAAAUGUGCUUCUAUGCAGGCGUCGAUUUUGACCAACAUACAAUUUUGUUGGUUUCGAGAAUCAGUACGAAUACAAUUCUAGAAAUUAUUGUCGACGGGAUUUUUUGUUGAUGAGGAGGUGACGGUACAGUUUAUCAAUCCUACUUACCCGCCUUACAUUCUACACAAUAACAUUAACAAAUAUAGCAGCCAAAAUCUGUGCACAAAAGUUGUUCUUAAUACUCUAUUGCGGCGUCAUUAUUGGGAUAUUUAUAUGGAAUGCCACCUGUUGGCCUUCUUUACGUGCAUUUUUUGAGAAGAAUUAAUUGUUUCAUAUCUUGAUUGAUUAUCAAUGACUAACGUUUAUUAACACAAUUACAUUUGCGAAAGAUUACAAAAGAACUUUACCAAAGCCUGCAGCACCAAGUUUGGUUGACGCUGGAUGGCAAACGAUACAUUUGAGCCUUAAUACGACAGAAUUGGGUAAUUACAGUGAUGUUUAUUAUAUUUUGGAAGUCAAACCACAAUGGGGCCUUCAAGAGAGGAAUAAUCUCUUUGUUGUGUUUCCUUACACAAGGAAAUACCACUAUGUAAGUGGAUUUUCAUUUCUUACUCAUCCUAACAAAAAGUCAUUUGCAGUAUAAUGCAUUUCAUCUCUUCUUUCAGUACGUAACAAUAAUUGAACUGAAUGAAACAAGUUGUUAAUCAAAUCAAAGAAACGGCACGGAAAGUAAAGAGUAACAUGCACACACGCCCAUUUGAAAUAUAUUAAAAGACAUAUUUAUAAAGUUAUUGAAUUUGUCUUCGUAUACAUGCAUGGUCAAUUGCCAAAUAAUAUAUGAGGAUUUAUUAUGUUUUUUAGACACCAGGGGCUGGUGGUACGGAGGUCGGAAAGCUC